rnacentral:rRNA from 1 species
CCCGAGGAAAAGAAAUCAACCGAGAUUCCCCCAGUAGCGGCGAGCGAACGGGGAGGAGCCCAGAGCCUGAAUCAGUGUGUGUGUUAGUGGAAGCGUCUGGAAAGGCGCGCGAUACAGGGUGACAGCCCCGUACACAAAAAUGCACAUGCUGUGAGCUCGAUGAGUAGGGCGGGACACGUGGUAUCCUGUCUGAAUAUGGGGGGACCAUCCUCCAAGGCUAAAUACUCCUGACUGACCGAUAGUGAACCAGUACCGUGAGGGAAAGGCGAAAAGAACCCCGGCGAGGGGAGUGAAAAAGAACCUGAAACCGUGUACGUACAAGCAGUGGGAGCCUCUUUAUGGGGUGACUGCGUACCUUUUGUAUAAUGGGUCAGCGACUUAUAUUCUGUAGCAAGGUUAACCGAAUAGGGGAGCCGAAGGGAAACCGAGUCUUAACUGGGCGUUAAGUUGCAGGGUAUAGACCCGAAACCCGGUGAUCUAGCCAUGGGCAGGUUGAAGGUUGGGUAACACUAACUGGAGGACCGAACCGACUAAUGUUGAAAAAUUAGCGGAUGACUUGUGGCUGGGGGUGAAAGGCCAAUCAAACCGGGAGAUAGCUGGUUCUCCCCGAAAGCUAUUUAGGUAGCGCCUCGUGAAUUCAUCUCCGGGGGUAGAGCACUGUUUCGGCAAGGGGGUCAUCCCGACUUACCAACCCGAUGCAAACUGCGAAUACCGGAGAAUGUUAUCACGGGAGACACACGGCGGGUGCUAACGUCCGUCGUGAAGAGGGAAACAACCCAGACCGCCAGCUAAGGUCCCAAAGUCAUGGUUAAGUGGGAAACGAUGUGGGAAGGCCCAGACAGCCAGGAUGUUGGCUUAGAAGCAGCCAUCAUUUAAAGAAAGCGUAAUAGCUCACUGGUCGAGUCGGCCUGCGCGGAAGAUGUAACGGGGCUAAACCAUGCACCGAAGCUGCGGCAGCGACGCUUAUGCGUUGUUGGGUAGGGGAGCGUUCUGUAAGCCUGCGAAGGUGUACUGUGAGGUAUGCUGGAGGUAUCAGAAGUGCGAAUGCUGACAUAAGUAACGAUAAAGCGGGUGAAAAGCCCGCUCGCCGGAAGACCAAGGGUUCCUGUCCAACGUUAAUCGGGGCAGGGUGAGUCGACCCCUAAGGCGAGGCCGAAAGGCGUAGUCGAUGGGAAACAGGUUAAUAUUCCUGUACUUGGUGUUACUGCGAAGGGGGGACGGAGAAGGCUAUGUUGGCCGGGCGACGGUUGUC